GGGGUUGUGGCUCAGCGGUAGAGCGCUCACCUAGCAGUGUGAGGCCCUGGGUUUGAUCCUCAGCAGCACAU
rnacentral:tRNA from 1 species